ACAAAUAAAGAAUCUCAUAUUCUUAAACCCCAUCCUGAGUACUUGUACUUGUUGCUUCCGUGGUCAGUAAGCAUCGUGCUUGCAUCUACCUUCAUGGUCGAUCCACGGAAGGUAUACAAUAAACUCUGUUAUUUUGUGGUAUCAGUCUGAGUAUGUUCAAGUUAUAAAUGUUA
rnacentral:misc_RNA from 1 species